AACAAGAAACAAGAUAUUGAGUGUUUAUAUUAACAUAUAGGUGAUGGAUAGUGGAAGUUCUUGGUAUGUAUGUUAUCUGAGUACGUUUUUCCCCCUUUGUUGUAGCUAUGCGUUGCUGGGAAAUAGUUUAAGCGUAGCCGUUGUUGCUCCCUUGCUCAGCUACCUAUUCGCCGAGCCAUCAUGACUCGAACCGAAGUUCUGCAGGAAGAAUUGGGAACUGAGGUUAACAGUAAAAAACUAUCUUUCGGAAACCUUAGAACGUCGAGCUUGGUACUUGUACUGUACCUUAGAAUAUCUACCAUCAGGACUCUGCCAGAACGCAUAAUUUAUUAAGCUUGAAGGUGCUGAAGUAAAUAACUCAAUGGAAACCUUCGGAUGGGGCAUGAUCCAAGGGGGGAGAGGUGGUCAGGGCAGUUUAGGAAUCUUUUAGCCGUCAUUUUUUUGUUUUCCAAAAAUGAUUGUAAACAAGAUUAAUCUCGCUAGUGUUUUGAUGGAUUUUUAAAAAUUGUAUUACGUCGAGGUCAAAUAUGUGCGUUGACUACCUCAAAGGUAGUCAUUCAUACUUCUGAACAAAACAUUUGUAUGUGCGACUCGCCUAUCAAAUUGAAUGAGGUAUUGUUAUCUUUGAGGUAUUGAUUGCUCCUUCGAAAUCUACACUACGUUGGACUGGCUUGAUCUGAGAAGUAAGAAUGACACCUUUUUGAUUUUGAGUUCCCUCAACACAUAAGCCUCAAACAACGGUACAGUAUCUGUUGUCCACAUCUUGUCUUGAAUUCAUGUUGCAUUCCUAGACAUGAAAGUGAAACAAGAAACAAGAUAUUGAGUGUUUAUAUUAACAUAUAGGUGAUGGAUAGUGGAAGUUCUUGGUAUGUAUGUUAUCUGAGUACGUUUUUCCCCCUUUGUUGUAGCUAUGCGUUGCUGGGAAAUAGUUUAAGCGUAGCCGUUGUUGCUCCCUUGCUCAGCUACCUAUUCGCCGAGCCAUCAUGACUCGAACCGAAGUUCUGCAGGAAGAAUUGGGAACUGAGGUUAACAGUAAAAAACUAUCUUUCGGAAACCUUAGAACGUCGAGCUUGGUACUUGUACUGUACCUUAGAAUAUCUACCAUCAGGACUCUGCCAGAACGCAUAAUUUAUUAAGCUUGAAGGUGCUGAAGUAAAUAACUCAAUGGAAACCUUCGGAUGGGGCAUGAUCCAAGGGGGGAGAGGUGGUCAGGGCAGUUUAGGAAUCUUUUAGCCGUCAUUUUUUUGUUUUCCAAAAAUGAUUGUAAACAAGAUUAAUCUCGCUAGUGUUUUGAUGGAUUUUUAAAAAUUGUAUUACGUCGAGGUCAAAUAUGUGCGUUGACUACCUCAAAGGUAGUCAUUCAUACUUCUGAACAAAACAUUUGUAUGUGCGACUCGCCUAUCAAAUUGAAUGAGGUAUUGUUAUCUUUGAGGUAUUGAUUGCUCCUUCGAAAUCUAC
rnacentral:lncRNA from 1 species